rnacentral:rRNA from 1 species
GACAGAGGAUGCAAGCGUUAUCCGGAAUGAUUGGGCGUAAAGCGUCUGUAGGUGGCUUUUUAAGUCUGCCGUCAAAUCCCAGGGCUUAACCCUGGACAGGCGGUGGAAACUACCAAGCUGGAGUACGGUAGGGGCAGAGGGAACUACCAGUGGAGCGGUGAAAUGCGUUGAUAUUGGUAGGAAGCCGGUGGCGAAAGCGCGACAACUGGACCUCUUCUGACACUGAUGCGCGAAAGCUAGGGGAGCAAACGGGAUUAGAUACCCCUGA